rnacentral:tRNA from 1 species
GCGGGUAUAGUUUAGCGGUAAAAGUGUGAUUCGUUACAUUAUCAACUCGAAUAAUGGAAGGAUCUUUUACAUGGAUCUUUGAUCCAUCUAAAGCUCUAUUUCCAGAUAGGUUCAAAACCUCCCCUAU